AGCGCGUGGCGCGUGCAGGCGAACGUUCCUCCCUCGUUCCUUUAGGCGGAACGUACAGUAAUUCAUUCUUUUAAAAAAAAAUGCCACGUGGCUGGCGGCGGCGGCGUUGUCCUCUUUUCCACCCAUCUCGUGCUCUAGGUUCUCCAGGAGUUAAUAAACUUCUGUAAAGUCCUUCGGUUCUCCCCAUUUUCCAGGAGAGGAAACGAACGGAGCCAUCCGUCUGUUGAAGAAGGUGGCUCCUCUGGUGAUAAAUCUAAGCCGGAUCCCAACUUUUU